UUACAUUGAUUUUAACUACUUUAGAUAUUGAUUUAGUACAGAGAAGAUUAGCAUGGCCCCUGCGCAAGGAUGACACGCAUAAAUCGAGAAAAAAAAAAAUAUUGA